rnacentral:rRNA from 1 species
GAAUUUUGGACAAUGGGCGCAAGCCUGAUCCAGCCAUUCCGCGUGCAGGAUGAAGGCCCUCGGGUUGUAAACUGCUUUUGUACGGAACGAAAAGGUUUCCUCUAAUACAGGAAGCUCAUGACGGUACCGUAAGAAUAAGCACCGGCUAACUACGUUCCAGCAGCCGCGGUAAUACGUAGGGUGCAAGCGUUAAUCGGAAUUACUGGGCGUAAAGCGUGCGCAGGCGGUGAUGUAAGACAGGUGUGAAAUCCCCGGGCUUAACCUGGGAACUGCAUUUGUGACUGCAUUGCUGGAGUGCGGCAGAGGGGGAUGGAAUUCCGCGUGUAGCAGUGAAAUGCGUAGAUAUGCGGAGGAACACCGAUGGCGAAGGCAAUCCCCUGGGCCUGCACUGACACUGAGGCACGAAAGCGUGGGGAGCAAACAG